rnacentral:rRNA from 1 species
CACCAGACUCCUACGGGAGGCAGCAGUGAGGAAUAUUGGUCAAUGGGCGAGAGCCUGAACCAGCCAAGUCGCGUGAGGGAAGACGGUCCUAUGGAUUGUAAACCUCUUUUGCCGGGGAGCAAAAAGCGGUACGUGUACCGCAUCGAGAGUACCCGGAGAAAAAGCAUCGGCUAACUCCGUGCCAGCAGCCGCGGUAAUACGGAGGAUGCGAGCGUUAUCCGGAUUUAUUGGGUUUAAAGGGUGCGCAGGCGGGAAGGGAAGGCAGGAGUAAAAGUGGGGGGCCCAACCCCCUCACCGCCGUUGAAACUGCGUUUCUUGAGUGGGCGAGAAGUACGCGGAAUGCGUGGUGUAGCGGUGAAAUGCAUAGAUAUCACGCAGAACUCCGAUUGCGAAGGCAGCGUACCGGCGCCCAACUGACGCUCAUGCACGAAAGCGUGGGUAUCGAACAGGAUUAGAUACCCCAGUA